GACGAACGCUGGCGGCGUGCUUAACACAUGCAAGUCGAACGGAAAGGCCCCUUUGGGGGUACUCGAGUGGCGAACGGGUGAGUAACACGUGAGUAACCUGCCCUUGACUUCGGGAUAACUUCAGGAAACUGGGGCUAAUACCGGAUAGGAAUCCUUGCUGCAUGGUGGGGGUUGGAAAGCUUCGGCGGUUUUGGAUGGACUCGCGGCUUAUCAGCUUGUUGGUGGGGGUAGUGGCUUACCAAGGCUUUGACGGGUAGCCGGCCUGAGAGGGCGACCGGCCACAUUGGGACUGAGAUACGGCCCAGACUCCUACGGGAGGCAGCAGUGGGGAAUAUUGCACAAUGGGCGGAAGCCUGAUGCAGCAACGCCGCGUGCGGGAUGACGGCCUUCGGGUUGUAAACCGCUUUCAGCAGGGGCGAAGCUUGUGGUGACGGUACCUGCAGAAGAAGCACCGGCUAACUACGUG
rnacentral:rRNA from 1 species